AUGGUGGUUGGUGGAAAGAUUUUUUGGUUUUGGAUGGACUCGCGGCCUAUCAGCUUGUUGGUGAGGUAAUGGCUCACCAAGGCGACGACGGGUAGCCGGCCUGAGAGGGUGACCGGCCACACUGGGACUGAGACACGGCCCAGACUCCUACGGGAGGCAGCAGUGGGGAAUAUUGCACAAUGGGCGAAAGCCUGAUGCAGCGACGCCGCGUGAGGGAUGACGGCCUUCGGGUUGUAAACCUCUUUCAGCAGGGAAGAAGCGAAAGUGACGGUACCUGCAGAAGAAGCGCCGGCUAACUACGUGCCAGCAGCCGCGGUAAUACGUAGGGCGCAAGCGUUGUCCGGAAUUAUUGGGCGUAAAGAGCUCGUAGGCGGUUUGUCGCGUCUGCUGUGAAAGCCCGGGGCUCAACCCCGGGUCUGCAGUGGGUACGGGCAGACUAGAGUGCAGUAGGGGAGACUGGAAUUCCUGGUGUAGCGGUGAAAUGCGCAGAUAUCAGGAGGAACACCGAUGGCGAAGGCAGGUCUCUGGGCUGUAACUGACGCUGAGGAGCGAAAGCAUGGGGAGCGAACAGGAUUAGAUACCCUGGUAGUCCAUGCCGUAAACGUUGGGCACUAGGUGUGGGGGACAUUCCACGUUUUCCGCGCCGUAGCUAACGCAUUAAGUGCCCCGCCUGGGGAGUACGGCCGCAAGGCUAAAACUCAAAGGAAUUGACGGGGGCCCGCACAAGCGGCGGAGCAUGCGGAUUAAUUCGAUGCAACGCGAAGAACCUUACCAAGGCUUGACAUGGACCGGACCGCCGCAGAAAUGCGGUUUCCCUUCGGGGCUGGUUUACAGGUGGUGCAUGGUUGUCGUCAGCUCGUGUCGUGAGAUGUUGGGUUAAGUCCCGCAACGAGCGCAACCCUCGUUCUAUGUUGCCAGCGCGUUAUGGCGGGGACUCAUAGGAGACUGCCGGGGUCAACUCGGAGGAAGGUGGGGACGACGUCAAAUCAUCAUGCCCCUUAUGUCUUGGGCUUCACGCAUGCUACAAUGGCCGGUACAAAGGGUUGCGAUACUGUGAGGUGGAGCUAAUCCCAAAAAGCCGGUCUCAGUUCGGAUUGAGGUCUGCAA
rnacentral:rRNA from 1 species